AAGAUUCCCUAGCCUUCGGAUCUCGCCAGUCUCCUUCCCCUUGUUCCGCUCGCGCGCCGUGGUGGGCCCUCUACGUUGCGCAGAUGGUGUCAUCUUCUCCGCGGCAUGCGCGGCGAUCCCAACCUUCGCGCGGGAAUUACAGUUUCAUACCGACCUAGCAACGCAGACCCCCCACCUGGGCUAUAAAAUGUGAGCGCCCGUGACCCUGAGCCAUAGCCGUCGCAAGCCAUACGCCAAGGGGAGAAAAGGGAGACUCAUCGCCGAGAGAUAGAGAGGGCAGGAAGGACCCGAGCUCGGCGCCGUGGGGCUAUUGCUCGUGCGCUGUCAAUCCCAAACCAAGCUGAUAGCAUAGGAGCUUCACCGGAGAACGUGGAGCGUUUUCAAAGGAU